UAGACUCUUGAUAAGCCUGAGCUUAACCCAAAACUACCCAGUUUUCCUGGGCCCUCACUCUUGUUAUGCCAUUGAGCACUACCCACACUAGGCUGGCUCCCUUGAGCGUGUACAGGCAAGCACACACUUUACAAAUCUUGAUCAGUUGACCUCACAGAAGCAGCAUGAUUGAUACCAGUGACUUCUGGAAUAGUUGGAACUUUCUUCCUCUCUCCCUGUGAAAUUUUCAAGAUAUCAAAGACUCAUACUACACAAAUCUUCCCAAAGGGUUAAAUUCAAAGCCCUGAGUUCACAGAAGAAAUCUGGUAGAGAACCACCCUGCAGGUGCUGGUGAACUCGGGUGCAGCUGGCGGUCAGCCCAUCCUCUCAGGCAAAGUCAGCAAGUCUUUCUGUAGACCACACAGCUGGAUGCUGGUGGUUCUGUGUGCUGGUCCGCAGUGUUUCUCAUCUGGUCCAAAGUCAUCCUUGUGUUCUGAGGAGCAGGAAGAGCACACUGUUGUGACUAGUUUUAAGCCUUUGAUGUGAAAAACAUUUCAAAGUGAAUUUAUCAAAACACUGAUUUUGUGUUUUAACCAACUUCUCUACAUGAAAAGUAUGACUUAUGGCAUGGUUUGCUUAUAAGCUCAGAGUCCCUUCAUCAUUCAAACAGUGAACACAGAACAAGGUAUUCUAUAAUAAAAAGCACUUCUCUCUCAC
rnacentral:lncRNA from 1 species